ACGAACGCUGGCGGCGUGCCUAAUACAUGCAAGUAGAACGCACAGUUUAUACCGUAGCUUGCUACACCAUAGACUGUGAGUUGCGAACGGGUGAGUAACGCGUAGGUAACCUGCCUGGUAGCGGGGGAUAACUAUUGGAAACGAUAGCUAAUACCGCAUAAUAUUAAUUAUUGCAUGAUAAUUAAUUGAAAGGUGCAAUUGCACCACUACCAGAUGGACCUGCGUUGUAUUAGCUAGUAGGUGAGGUAACGGCUCACCUAGGCGACGAUACAUAGCCGACCUGAGAGGGUGAUCGGCCACACUGGGACUGAGACACGGCCCAGACUCCUACGGGAGGCAGCAGUAGGGAAUCUUCGGCAAUGGACGAAAGUCUGACCGAGCAACGCCGCGGGAGUGAAGAAGGUUUUCGGAUCGUAAAGCUCUGUUGUAAGAGAAGAACGGGUGUGAGAGUGGAAAGUUCACACUGUGACGGUAUCUUACCAGAAAGGGACGGCUAACUACGUG
rnacentral:rRNA from 1 species